GCGCUCACCGGAUCGCCGGCGAGCUACGGCUACCACCCGUCAUCUCUUUUCAGCUAAUCUGCUUCGCGCUACUUUUUUGAGGUGGGCACCUGGGAUGGAGGCAAGGAAUCACGAAGUGGCGUCUCCUCGGAAGGGGCAGCCUGAUGUCUUUAACCACUGAACUGUGGUUUCCAACUGGAUGCGCUUUGGGUUCAGGGCUAAGACACGCGUAGGCGGUGCAGACAGUUCAAUUCGUGGGCGGCUUUUUCUCUCCCCUGCGCGGUUUUGCAGAACUGAGGAUUCACGUUUGCCACGCAGUCUCUAAAUCCUCCUCCCAGCCCUCGCCGGAUUUCUGCAUCGGAAUUGGAUUGGAUCACACACAAAAGAAGAGCCCAGGAACUCGUUCACCACCUUGCACCUUGCCUGUUAGUUCACGGCAUAAUGGUAACAGAGUCUUCAUUAAUGGAAGCAACGUUACUACCGUGAGCCCGGAUAGCUCAGUCGGUAG
rnacentral:lncRNA from 1 species